rnacentral:rRNA from 1 species
UAAGGAAUAUUGGUCAAUGGACGCAAGUCUGAACCAGCCAUGCCGCGUGAAGGAUGAAGGUCCUCUGGAUUGUAAACUUCUUUUAUCUGGGACGAAAACGGGAUUUUUAUCUCAAUUGACGGUACCAGAGGAAUAAGCACCGGCUAACUCCGUGCCAGCAGCCGCGGUAAUACAGAGGGGGCAAGCGUUAUUCGGAAUUAUUGGGCGUAAAGGGCGCGUAGGCGGUGUCUUAAGUGGGAUGUGCAAUCCCCGGGCUUAACCUGGGAACUGCAUCCCAGACUGGGACGCUGGAGUACUGGAGAGGGUGGUGGAAUUCCACGUGUAGCGGUGAAAUGCGUAGAGAUGUGGAGGAACACCAGUGGCGAAGGCGGCCACCUGGACAGUAACUGACGCUGAGGCGCGAAAGUGUGGGUAGCAAACA